GAUGAACGCUGGCGGCGUGCCUAAUACAUGCAAGUCGAGCGAACAGAUGAGGAGCUUGCUCCUCUGACGUUAGCGGCGGACGGGUGAGUAACACGUGGAUAACCUACCUAUAAGACUGGGAUAACUUCGGGAAACCGGAGCUAAUACCGGAUAAUAUAUUGAACCGCAUGGUUCAAUAGUGAAAGACGGUUUUGCUGUCACUUAUAGAUGGAUCCGCGCCGCAUUAGCUAGUUGGUAAGGUAACGGCUUACCAAGGCGACGAUGCGUAGCCGACCUGAGAGGGUGAUCGGCCACACUGGAACUGAGACACGGUCCAGACUCCUACGGGAGGCAGCAGUAGGGAAUCUUCCGCAAUGGGCGAAAGCCUGACGGAGCAACGCCGCGCGAGUGAUGAAGGUCUUCGGAUCGUAAAACUCUGUUAUUAGGGAAGAACAAAUGUGUAAGUAACUAUGCACGUCUUGACGGUACCUAAUCAGAAAGCCACGGCUAACUACGUG
rnacentral:rRNA from 1 species